GUGCUUGCUUAGGCAGCACAUACAUUAAAAUCGGAGCGAUACAGAGAAGAUGAACAUGGCGGCUGCGGAAGAAUGGCUGGCGAAUUGGCGAAGCGUUCCGUGUUUCU
ensembl:snRNA U6 U6 spliceosomal RNA